rnacentral:lncRNA from 1 species
GCAUGGCCUCCCUUCUCCGCUGCCACCUGAAAACAAAGAAGGUGACAAAAUGGAAAGCUUAAAAAGAAAAAAAUUGAAGAGAAAUGAGAAAAAAUUGAAGAGAAAUGAGGGGGAAUUUUUUGGGGGGGGGAACCAAAGAGAAAAAAAAAGAAAGCAGAGAAACCAAAAAAAAUCAAACAGCAGCAAGCAAAAUCCCUCACCACCGUCGCUCAACCACCGUGACCGUCGUCUUCCCUUUACCUCCACCACCUGAAAAGCC